rnacentral:rRNA from 1 species
UACGUAGGGGGCAAGCGUUGUCCGGAAUCAUUGGGCGUAAAGAGCGUGUAGGCGGCUCGGUAAGUCCGCUGUGAAAGUCCAGGGCUCAACCCUGGAAUGCCGGUGGAAACUGUCGAGCUAGAGUCCGGAAGAGGCGAGUGGAAUUCCUGGUGUAGCGGUGAAAUGCGUAGAGAUCGGAAAGAACACCAACGGCGAAAGCACUCUGCUGGGCCGACACUGACACUGAGAGACGAAAGCUAGGGGAGCAAAUGGG